rnacentral:tRNA from 1 species
GAGGCUCUGGCUCAGUGGCAGAGCAUCUGCUUGGCAUGGUGAAGAUUGUAGGUUUAAUUCCUGGCAACACCAGGUUUCA